CGAUGGGGUAGAGGCGCAGGGUUCAAGAGUAAUCUGUUCGAGGAUGACAACUGAGAAAACAGAUGAAAGGGAAUCUUUGCCGAAGUAAAUAUGCAGGUCGAAGGUGUAUUUGCUGGGGUUAUCUUGAAAAAGGAUAACACUGUCAUUAUAGGGAAAUCCCUAUAAUGGGGAGCUACAGAUCGU
rnacentral:ncRNA from 2 species